UAACCAUACGCGUACCGCAUUGCGCGGGAGCAAACGACACGUGAAACGCAUUUACCCUCCCCCCCCAUCCCCCCAUAUCGCGUCGAACCGUCUCCGAUUCAAAGCUAUCGGGACGUACCAGUACUGCGCGCGUGUUUAUACGUGUGAAUACGAUUGUGUGCACGAACUCACUGCGAGCAUUAAUUGUAAUGAUUUACCGCGGAUAUCGCGUCGCGGCGUUCGCAACAGUAUAAAUUAUAUACGGCGCAUUCGCCCGGGGGGG